AGGGUGAUUACCCGACUUGGGAAAUAACAAAUGAGGAUUUAUUGAGAUUUGAAUAUGAUGUGUCUGCGUCAGAUCAAGAAGCUAUGGAGCAUAUGAUGAAUCUCGUUGGUAAUACGACCACUCAACAUUAUGAUUAUCCUUCCACGCGG